CUACGUCAAGCUUUGACGGAUCUACUGUACACGGUCUUUAUAAAAAAAAAAACCCUCUUGCAAAGACAACAAAACGAAUGGAAUAUAUCCAACCACCCGACCCCCCAGGAAGAUAUCAUCACCUACCAACCGAGGGGAAAUGAUACAUCUGCAACCCGGCCCACCCCGUUUUUUCCUGUGCUACACCAUCCACCCCUUUCAGAGACCUCCAGAGUGACCAUGGGAUCAAAGAUGUCACCCAGCUUUGCCUCUUUAGAUAUGGGAUACUUUGAACACAAUAUCAUUUUCAACACUCUGGAGAAUCCCUUCCUUCAGCACAUCAAACACUGGAAGAGGUACUUAGAUGAUGUUUUUCUUCAUAUGGACUGGUUCAGUCCCACAGCUUCAGGAAUUUCACCACUUCAUCAAUUCCAAAAACAAAUAUCUCCAGUUCACUAUGCUGUCUGAUACCAAUUAAAUGAACUUUGUGGAUGUUAUGGAGAUUAAAGAGAAGGAUGACCUGAGAACUAAUCUAUAACAUCAUAAUAAUCAUAAUCAUAAUCAUAAACCUAGAGACAGAAACUCUCUUCUUCAUGGGGAGUCAUACCAUCCUACUCAUUUAAAAAAAGAAUCUUCCCAUCUCUCCGUUUAACCGUAUCAGACGCAUUUGCAGCUCAGAUGAAGACUAUAAUAAACAAACCAUUGAUCUACAAAACCGCUUCAGACAAAGAGGCUACAAAGAGGCCUGGAUUAGCAAUGCUGCCUGCCUUGCGCUUCUCCUGUCACAGAGUGACAGCCUUUCCAACAUCAGGCUUAAGGAGUCAGAACAGAGAACUGUUUGUGCUAUACAAUACUCACUGGUUUCAAAGGACAUAGAAACGAUCAUUAAAAACACUGGCAUGUCACUGAAACAAAUCCAGCCUUGAAAAACUGUUUUUUAAAACCACCUAGAGUGGUCUUUAAAAGGCCCCCAAAUCUGCGUAACAUGUUGGUGAGGGCUGACCUCCCCCUCCAGUCACCAUCUCAUUUCCUCAGCUCAAUCCCUUCUGGUAACUAUCCUUGUGGUUGGUGCCAACAAUGCCACUUUACACACAAAACUAAUACUUUUAACCAUCCGCACACAGGGAAAAAAUACAUCAUAAAAGGAUUGAUUUCAUGUUCCACUACCAAUGUCAUUUAUAUGCUCAAAUGUCCUUGUGGUUUGGCAUAUAUCGGAAAAACAAACAGACAGCUGAAGACACGCAUUGCUGAACACCAGAGUGCCAUUAGAAAUAAAGUUGCCUCUAGCCCUGUGGCUGUACACUUUGCUGAAGCCAAACGCAUCAUUUCCACUUUAAAAUAUAUUGGGAUUGAAGCUCUCAA